rnacentral:misc_RNA from 1 species
GAUGAAGAACGCAGCAAAAUGCGAUAAGUAAUGUGAAUUGCAGAAUUCAGUGAAUCAUCGAAUCUUUGAACGCACAUUGCGCCCGCCAAUAUUCUGGCGGGCAUGCCUGUUCGAGCGUCAUUUCAACCCUCAAGCACAGCUUGGUGUUGGGACUCGCGUUAAUUCGCGUUCCCCAAAUUGAUUGGCGGUCACGUCGAGCUUCCAUAGCGUAGUAGUAAAACCCUCGUUACUGGUAAUCGUCGCGGCCACGCCGUUAAACCCCAACUUCUGAAUGUUGACCUCGGAUCAGGUAGGAAUACCCGCUGAACUUAAGCAUAUCAAUAAGCGGAGGA